rnacentral:misc_RNA from 1 species
UAGUUGCAGACCACGUGAGG